GUUAAGACUGCCACCUGGCCACUUUGGGUUCCUCAUGCCUCUGAGUCAACAGGCCGAGAAGAGAACUAUGGUGUUGGCUAGGGUAAUUGAUCUAAACUACCAUUGGAAAAUCAUACUACUGUUCCACAAUGGAAGUAAGAAAGGGUGUGUCUGGAAUACAGGAGAUAUCUUAGCGUGUCUGUUACUAUCCAUGCUCUGUGGUUAAGGUCAAUGGAAAACACCACCACCACAACCUAGGCAGGACUACAAAUGACCCAGAUUCUUCAAGAAUAAAGGUUUUUUUCACCCCACCAGAUUCGCAUUUAAAUUGG
rnacentral:lncRNA from 1 species